rnacentral:ncRNA from 1 species
AAUGUGGAGCCCAGAACCCACUAAAAAAAACGGAGUGAAACCGAAAAACUUUAAGAGUAGGAA